GGGAGGGGGGGGGGACCCAAACCCAACACUUCACCCUUUGGAAAUUUGUGCUCAGUCUAAACAAUAGGAAGCCCAUAAUGCAGAUUAUAACACUCACUGACUCGAAUCCAUUAUCUGCCCUCCACACUGUCUAUAUAUUGAUUUCCAUAUACUUUCUAUUGCUCUCAAUGACUGAGCAAAGCUCCAGUUAAGAGCCCGCGACACACAGGAGCGCUGCUUGAACUACAUCUCACCAAUACAAGCCGGAGCCGGUUGUAAACACGAAAUGCUCCCACUUUCCCGGUGUAGCUGCGAACAAGCACACUAGCACCCCUCCAGCCCCGCAAGGGAGCCGGGCAGAGCCAGUGGCUGCCCCGGGCCCCCUCCCGCCUCGGAGAGCGUGCGGGUGUCCCCCGGAGCCGCGGCCGGGAGGACACCCGUGCCCACGGGAGGGAUCCCGGGCUCCCCGUCCCGAGAGCGGGACCGCAGGCGGGGAAGGGGCUCUGGGUCCCCGCGGGGCGGGCAGAGCCGGGGGGCUCAGCUCCCCGCCCGCGGCCCUCGGCCAGCAGCCCCUCUGCCCGAGACCUGAGCUCUUAAUGAGGGAUGGCGGUGGUUUCCUUAACUUUGGGAGCCAACAGAGCAGAACUUUCCCAAGGCAGGAUGCUCCGGACGGUGCACUUAGACGGCGGCAGGAGAGCCUGCACACCCCCCGGGGACAGAGUUUGCCUCCUGAACCACACUUCUCUUACUGAAGAACAGCAGCUCCGACCUCCACACCAACCGGGACUGCCGCUUUGAAGUAGCUGCGAACAGUGCUCCCGUGUCUCAACAUGGUCACGUAGGAGAUUUGAGCCUUUUAAUUUCCAGACACAAGGAAUAACUCCCUCGGAGGGCCGGGCCGGCUUAGGUGGUCGAUUGCUGGGUGUUUUGGUCAGAGUUCUUGAUUUUUUUUCUUUCUAAUAAGACAGCGAGGGAGGAUGGGGUAGGAUUCCCUGGCAGACACAGAAGCCUGGAGGGGAAGAGAAAGCCUGGCCGGGCACAUUUGGCCUCGGGGACCUGCCCGAGCGGCUCUGCUGUCCCGGCGGGACGGCGGCCGGGCCCGAGACCCGGCCCUGCGCGGCAGCCAAGGGCGCGUCGCCCGGUGUGACCUUCAGGGAGCACAUUUCCACUGCUGAGCACCGGGAAAAGUGCUCCUCUCGCUCGCAGGCGCCAUGUUACCGCCGGGAGCCGGGGCUGGGCAGGGGGAGGGCGGGUGAGCGGUUAGUGAGUUUUACGGUUGUUAAUUCAGACUGGACGCGCACUCCAUAAAAAGAGGGGGAAAAAAAAAAGAGUACUUUGGGAUUAUUCUUUUCUUCUUAACCCCCCCCUGCUAUCCUCCCUUUUCCAACCCCCCUCGAGGGGAUGCGCUUUGUAACACUGAUGCCUGCUCUGGGACCCUCCCGAGCAUCCUCCCCCUCCCGCCCGCUGGAAAGGGGGUGAUCUCCGAGGGCUCUCACGGGGACCCUGUCCAAGGCCCCGACACUCGCCUUGCCGGGGGCCCCAGGCACGGCCGGCAGCGCCCGAGAGCUCCCAGCUUCCCCCAUCCUGCCGCUAGCCGGGGAGGGACUGGGAAAACUCCCUCAGCCUCGUUCCCUGAUAGCUAUGAGGUUCAAAAUCAGAAAAUACUCCCAACACCUCUUUUCCCCCGUGCAAAAUGAUUUCCUAAGCAGUGAGUCUGCACUUUGCUGAGCUCUCUGCUCCCUCACUUCUCACAGAGAUCUGCUCCUUAGUCAAGGCGCUCUUUUGUCUUCCCCUCUGCUUUUUUUUUCUUCUUAUUGUGAGAAAAACUAACCAACCCCACCCAGAACCCGACAACAACAACUUCUGUAGCUGUGCAGAAGUGGAGGAAGCAGCGCCGCGAUCGCGGCAGGGACACAGAGAAGCCGGACAGAGCCGCUCCUCCUCUGGGCCGCAGGGCCGGUGCCGUCCUAAGGAUUCAAGUCCUCUCAGGAUUUGGGAACAAAGGCAGUCCAGCCCAGCUCCGCCACGCACGAAUCUCCAUUGUAAUCCUGGGCUUAUCCUUUCCCCCCCUCCCUUUCUUCAUUUGCCCUGUUUUCCAGCCUGCGGUUCCUGAAGGUCAGAUGGAGGGGUCAUAGCUCUGCAUCCCCUAUAAAUAGAUUUUGAUAUUUAGACAGCUAUUGCUACUCGAUAUUAACUUACAGGAUAAUGGCGAGAGAUAUCGUAUGCGCUGAACCUGUUAUUCACGAGUGAGCAGCAUCUGUCGAAUACAAUUCUCGUCUUUUUCCCUAUUUGGCUGUAGCACACAUCAAUAGGGCGAAGGGACGUCUUGAGGCUGGGGCAGGGACGGAGAGCAGGACGGCUCUGCGGGGGCAAAAGUUGCGAGUACAGUGCUGAAACUCUACGAGGACUUAGAGAGCCUAAGUCAGGAGCCAGGUCGGCGCAGACCGGCUCUGAGCAAGUGCAGGACCCAUUCAAGAGCGGCAAAUAUUCCAGCGGGCUUUUGACACUUCACAUUAAAAUAUAAUGAAUGCUGCUGAAGUGAAAGGGUCUCCCCUCCGCACAUUCGCAGCCCGAUUUCCCCUGUUUCUGACUUUUAAAAUCAUGGGUUCCAGGUGGAUCUGGACCAGAGGCUCAGAGCUCACCACUAACCCUUUCUCUGUUUACAGAGUGUUCAAGAGAAGGCAAGGUCUUCAAAUGUGGGCUAUACUUCGAAGGGAACACUAAGAGUUCUCAUUUCCUUUUCACAGAUCCCCUCUUCUGGCUGUUCCCAAAUCCUCUGCCUUUCGCCACCUGCGAGGCAAAAAAGGCCUUUACACUCCUAGGUCCUCUGUCCUGGAUGCCGGCACUUUACUUGGCAGUGCGAUUAAAAUGAAAUUCACGGCCGGGACCCUGGCUGAGGCUUCAGGGCAAGCCCACCCGCAGCCGGGUGCCCGCCUGGAUGCGCCGGUCGGGGUCGGCCAGCGCUUUGGGAGCUGGUAGAACUGGCGGGCAGCGGCCGAGGCCGUGCCCCGCGGGACGGGGAGAGGAGUCUGGCCAGGAUAAAAACACCAUUUCUCCCUCGUUGAGCUGGCUCACGCGUGGGUCCUGCUCCUUCUGCAAAAACGAUUCCCCUUAUAGCUGUCGAGACCGCGGCUCUAGAAACUAGUUGUGAUCAAGAUCUUGUGUAGCAGGAGCGGGAAGUACGCAGGCGUUUCCAUCUGCUUACCUGGGCAUGGAGGGAAGGGAGACAGGGUCGUGAAAGGCGCCGAUUGUGUGUGGAUUUUGAGGUUAAAAAGAGGUAACCUGGGGAAGGGGAGGGAGGAAAGGCACUGAGUGGCUUAAUUUAAUCAAUAAAAUGUCUGAAAUAGUUGUCGAGAUUUGAUUCUCGCGUUUGCUGGUUUAACUUGCCCUGUAACGCUCAUGUGUAACAUCUGGUACUGCGCGUGUACAGCUGCGCUUUGGGGGUGGUGUGCGCUUGAUUUUGAGAAAAGGGAUAAUUGCCAAGGAAGAGAAAAAGAGGCAGUUUUCAGAUGCUGCGACUUCCUAGAGCCUGGCGGGUUUACAACCAGCUCGGCAACAGUGAAACAAACUUGCUGUCAAAGUUUACCGACGCUCAGUGAGGAGGAGCGCAUCUCGCUGCCCGGCCGGGGACCCGCUGGCUUUGUUCCGAGGGCAGCGAAGCCCCGGGAGCUGCCAGGGCUGCCUGCUGUCCCCGGGAGGCAGGCGGGCUGGCCGGAGGGCUGGCGGAGCGCUGUCCCGGCCAGGCAGUGUCCCAGGUUCUCUUCCGGGCCGGCCCGUGGCAGCCGAGCCGCGCUCCGCCCGCCGGGAGCGGCGGCAGCGCUUGUGCCCACCGCCCGACGGAAGGGGCAGACGCGACUUUAGUGGGUGUUUGUACGGCUCGCCUGCGAGGGAAGGCGCCGUCUCUUUUCCCCCUCGGCCUCCUCGGCCCGUCUCUUCUCCCGGGAGCUCCGGAGGGAGCCGGGGGGCCGGCGCUGCACAGCCCGGGCGCACAGGGACGGUGCGGGGGGACGGCGCAGCCCCUCCGGAGCGGCAGCCCCAGGGCUGCAGGGCAGAGAUCUUGUGCUCCCUCCAUCUCGGGGCUCUCUUUGACCCCAUGAGCUGCUUAGGGAGAGCUCUUACGAUAGUUUUUCCAUAAGAAAAAUUCGAGUUAUUGUGAGGUGCGGUCCCCAUGCAUUUUUAACCAUAGUGAUUACUAAAUUAAUAGCAGGCCCUAAGACAGAUGUCAAAACGUCUUGAAAAUGUUUAUCUGUGAAUAAUUGAGAAGGUGGUAAGACGCAUUAUCUGAUUGUAUAAUGAAAUAUGUAUGAGGAACAGCUGUUUGCAAUAGUCACCUCCCGUUGUUUCAUUAGCCUAGAGCCUCCUCUUUAAAGAAGCGCUUCCCUGAAGCUGGCCAUUCAGCCUCCGCCGCUUCCACCGGCGCCGGCGCCCGAGCCGGAGCCACAGCGGGGAGAGGCGAACCCGGGGCUGUCCCCAGGCCGGUCACGGGCCCUCCCCGCGGCAUUUCUCACUGCUGCUCCGCUCCGAGGGCGGGAGGGAAGAGGAGCGGAUGGGGUCCGAAGAUGUCCUGUUGGGCAGUCUUAGCCUGAAGAGGACGCCCUGAGAGGAAGGAUCCUAGAUGCUCAUCUCGGAAGCACAGCAAACAGCCAUUUAUUAAGAUUUCAUGCCAAGCAGCGAUGCCUCGACUGCUUAGCGUUGACAUAAACUUCCAGACGUCGAGCAUAUGCUGUUGCACAGCAUUGUUUAUGUGUGGUACCAGAUGUUGCUUUGCAUCCUAUUGUCUAGAGACAAUGUUUAGCUCAGGUUAAAAUAUCUUUACUUAAACUGCUCAGUUGGCCAUUGUGUGAGCAUUAGUGAAGUGUCAUGGAGAGGUAAUGGGAAGUCCGGGGAGGUUAGCUCUCCGAGCAUGGCCAGAAGGUCCCUGGUUCAUGGUGGGGUUACAGCCACCACUGUCAUCUUUUGUUUUCCCUCCUCAGAGAACCCUUGUCCUUCCUCUAAAAGGAUGUGCCCCGCUCUCAUUCCCUUCGGAGUUUUCUCCAGCGUUUCAUGAAGCGGCCCGAUGUUUGUUUUUCCAGUUCCCCUAAAUCGCCCCAAAGAGGAAAGCAAAGCACGCUCCUGCGUCACCGCCACCCCAGCCGGGCCGGGCCGGGCGGAGCGGGGAUGCUGGCGCCGGGGGGAACCGGGCCCGGGAGCAGAGUUCACGCCCGAGCCAAGCAGGCGGCUCCCUCCCCCCGAAACGCCCGGCCGAGCCUCCUUCCCUCCUUCCCUCCUUCCCUCCGUCCGUCCGGGCCGGCGCAGCCCCCUCCCGCCUGGAGCCUUUUCUUCCCUUUAACCCCGCAGUUUGGGCCGGCCGCGGCUGCUGACCUGUGGCAGGACUUUUGCUCCGGGAGAGAGGGGAAAAAAGCUAUAGACUUUAAUCGGAUUUCUCCCCAAACACUCGUGCCCUACACAUUACAGUUCAUCUGUAAAGAUACUGCUUCAGAGGGACCUGUUGCACACAGUGAUGAAUAGAGUGAAGACUGGUACAAAGAAAAUUCACUGUAUAAACAUCCUGCCCAAGAAAGGAAGGUUCACCCAUACUCCAUCUACAGGAUUUAGUCCUUUGUAGCCACAUACAGUAUGCGACAGAACAAUUUGGAAAAGAUUCAUCUAUCAAGUUUAACAACUUUCUGGUGUAACUUCAGAGAGGUUUAUUGCUUAUUCAUGUGGAAGACUGACCCUGAACCUUGCAGGCCUUGGAAGAUUUUCUGUCCUCAGGGAAUGUGAGGAAGUGUGGACACAAAGGGAGAGACUUGAAGUAUUUCUCCAGGAAGAAAAGAUGUAAAUAUUUUUGUAUAUUGGCUGACGAUUUUUAAAGAUUUUACUAAAUAGUAUGGUUUUAUUACUUCUAAUAGUAGAAAAACAAGCUGUCCUAGGAUCACAGUUGUUACACAUUUCCUCAGAUUAUCUUUGUUGGAAACCUCAUUUGAGAUAAGACAUUCUUCUUUUCAGCGGUAUAGCUCCUGUUAAGUUAUUAUAGAAUUAAGGAAAUGAUGAUUUUAUUGUUAACAAACAGUAAAAAAUAAUCCAACAUUUUCACCACAUUCAAAAAUGCUGUAGAACUGUUGAUGGAAGUGUGUUAUUCUUGCUUCUAGACAAAGAAUAUCAUAAAAGAUUGUUUAAUAUGAAAAUUCACCUUUCCCAAUUAUAUGUAUUUUCAAACCUACAGUGUAUUCAGAGUAUUUUGUGUAGCUUCUCUGCUCUGAAAAAUCCAUGGAUAAAUUUUCACGGAGAAAGUUAGAUAUAGAUGAUGCAGAUAUAGCUAUAUCUAUUUUUCUUUUAGGUGAAAGUGGCAGCUGAACAAAGCCUGUUCUCUCAACGAAGCAGCAAAGCAGUAGUAUAGGGCCAGGGCUGGAAGUCCUUCUGCUGUAAAUCCACACCAAUCCAACUAAGACCAAGCACUUGUGAAUAUUAAAUUCACACUAGUGUAGCUGAGAGUAGAAAUGGCCUUUGUUUUUGAAACCUUUGGAGUCUGAAGUGAAAAAAAAAAAAAGGAGCAGGGUUUAACCUUUAAACCUUUCACUGACCUUUAAGCAGUACUUUGGAUUAUAUCUGCCCUUGUUAAUCUGAAGCCACUUGCAAACAUAACUGGCAUUCCUGUUUUUUAAGUAUACUCUACGUACAUUAUAGAAUGGGUUAGCAAUUGAAAAGUUUGGCUCCUGUUCAUUGUGUCUUUAUCAGCUUUUAAAGUGAUGCUUAUCUUUGUAAACAAAAUUUCAUAGUAAGCAGCAACACGAGAAAUGCUUUGUGUCAAAAUACAUCAUGUAAAUGAUGGCCAGGCUUAGAUCUGUACUCUUGAAAGGGCAAAUCCAUGUGUUGAUCAAGACAAUAAAUUUUGUAGAAUUCCUGUAUUAAUGUAGAACUCAACAAGGACCCGUUUUGUUGGCACCUCUUUCUAUCACAGGUGAGUAGAAACUUCUGCAGCAUCUGGCCAGACCAUUAUUUUUCCUUCUUUGGCUUUUCUUUCUUUCUUUCCCACUAUUCACAUCCCUGCUUUACAUGCACUUUUUUCUCACAUACCUUCCUCAUACAUAUCUUCAUUUUGGUCUAUUAAAUCCAAACUACAGGUACAGAUGACUUUAAAUGAACCAUGAAUUUAUCUUGGACGAGAUCUCACUGUUCUCAUAAUCUAAACAGAGUUUAAUUAACACUAGAAACAUCUACUUCUUGAUAUAAAUAAAAUAGUCUACAACUGGUGAUUGUAAUUUUCCCUUUUCAUUCACACAAUGAUUGCAAAAUGUCUUGCCAUUCACAUGGAAAUUUUCUUCUAAGUACGUCUGUCUUUAGUGGAACAAUGUCAUGGGCAGAGCACAAAUUUAUAGAGGAUGUAUAUGUUUAAGAAACAGCAGCUAUUUCAUAUUCUAUGUCUAUCAUUUGAAUCAAGAAUUUUCCUGCUGGAUUGUUACAGUAAUACAGAGGAACUGAUGCACUGCCCCUUACAUUCAAGCUACUUUUCAAGUGCAGAAAUACUGGCCUUAGAAAUUGACAAAAUUACAGACAAGUUAUUUUACCUUGAAGUAUGAAAUGCUGGAAAUUGCUGAGACAACUUAGCACAGUAGAGACAGUCAGGCUGAAUCAGUGUGAGGAACACCACUGUAGGUUUAGAAGGAUAAACACAUGGGAUUUGUUUUCCUGAAAAUUUUACCAGGACUUGACAUUGUAAAGACAUUGAGUGUCAUAGGCUUUUAAAGAAAUGAAGAGUUGAUAUGCUGAGAGCAAACACUGAAAGGCCUUGUGAUGUAGCUGGUGAAAAGCACCUGUUUUUUAUGGUGGAUAUUUAUUUGAAUAUGAAAAGUACUAUACAUUUCUUUUAUCAUCUCCUCAUCUCUUGCUGUUGCAUGUUGGAGAAUUACUAAAUCUCCGGAGAGGGAUCAGAUCUGUAAAAGUUGUCAGUUGUUAAGACAAGGUAUUCAGUGAAUAAAUGAAUUAUUGUACUGAAGUCCUUUAUUGAAUACUCCUGUGUCACUGCUUUAGUUAAAUAUCAAGAACAUAGGCAUUUAACAAUAUUACUUUAAAUUCAAAAUGCCUUGAAAGUACUGAGAUUCAAUUUGCAAAUGUAACCAAGAAUAAAACAUGUGCCUUGGAUUACAUGUCACUUCUUGGGAUGUUUUGACAUAACGCAUUUAGAAAAUACUUUCCUGUGACAGAAAUGAGUAAAAUAAAUUUCAGUUAUCUGUGACUUCUAACAGUCCAGUUCUUGGUUAGUUUGUUCUCUGCAUCACAGCAAGCUGACAUGCUCACUUGUGCAUCAGUGUGGAGGCCAACUGCUUAAGGCUAAAGUGCUAUUGUGCUCCUUGUGUGAAUAAUCCUGUUAGCAGCAAGGGAAUACAGGCAUGGAAAAAGCAAAAAAUGGUCACAAGUGAGAAAUAACCUGACUUCCUUCUCUUUUCUAGAGAUGAUCUGUGCAGUGUUUUUAGACAGAUCUCUUGUAUGAUGGUACCAACAUCUUCAAAGACUCCAUCUUUUUAUCUCCUCUCAGGGGUACCAAAAUCACUCCAGCUCUUCUAUGAAGAGCUUAGAAAAUACUUAGAAAAGUAGAUAAGCAAAUCCAUUCAAUAAUCUGUCCUCUUCAUUUCCAAAAUACUGGUACCAAGAUAGAAAAGGCAAGGAUGUACAGGGAGGUACUUUUGUCUGUGUCUUUCAUGAAAACACGCUUACUCUAGAAAUUCAGUAUAUAAGGACUACACCAUUAUUCCCAAAGAGCAAGCAUGUCAUAAUGGAAAAUAUACACCAGAAAUUUAGUAUUAAAUCUGCUUUUAUUUAAUAUAGUUAAAUUAGCUACAGCUUCUCAGUAUAGAAUUUUAGUAUUAUGUGCAGUAUGACAUUAAAAAAUUAAUCCAAGUGGAGAAUUCUUACUAUAGAGUUAUGCUCAAAUUUCCCACUCAUAUAUGUGGGACUUGCAGAAAUCCAAGAAUGGUGGUUUUGGGUUUACUAACAAAAUGUCACAAUUAAACAUAUCCAGGAGGUCAGGUAACACUGCCUGUAACCUUAUAGUAUGCUAUGUUAAUAGUAACAUUUUCAGAACAGCAUGAUUAGUUCACUGAUCAUAUCACCUGCCCACUCAUCUAGGCCAGGCAAAUACUAAAAUCAAAAAAAGAUUGUUACUUUUUGCAGUGUACAUGUUCUUAGCGCAUGAUGAGAGGAUUGUGAAGACAGUGAUGGAACAUACAUCAAAAACCUGUUGCCUCAUGCUCUGUAACACAUUUGCUGUACCAGGAAUGAAACAGAGAGAAGGAAUUUGGUUGCUGGAAUUAUGAAACCCAGAACCUGGUUCUAUAACCUGCUGAUGAUAUUGACUUCUGUUGUCAUUUGGAUGUGGUUACAUAUUCACUGUCUUAAUUAAUAGUUAUGGAUGUUGCAUGACAUGGUGUUAACACCCUAUCUGAAAAUAAAAUAAGUACUGACACGUCAA